rnacentral:rRNA from 1 species
UAUGGAGGGGGCUAGCGUUAUUCGGAAUUACUGGGCGUAAAGCGCACGCAGGCGGAGUGUAAAGUCAGAGGUGAAAUCCCGGGGCUCAACCCGGGAACUGCCUCUGAAACUCGCAAUCUUGAGUUCGGUAGAGGUGAGUGGAAUUCCGGGUGUAGCGGUGAAAUGCGUAGAUAUCGGGAGGAACACCAGUGGCGAAGGCGGCUCCCUGGCCCAAGACUGACGCUCAGGCUCGAAAGCGUGGGGAGCAAACAGG